CAUGGCACAAUCAGUCUAGCACUUUUCCUAUCUUACACAUUGCAUAUAAUUUUUUUUGUUUAAAGUGGUUUGUUUAUUUUUUCAAGGUUGCUGUCAAGAAACACAACAAGAAAUCCAGGGAAUGGAGAAUGUGGAGAAGUCCAAAUAAGGGAGGAUUACCAGCUGAGAAAGGCUACGUAUGUUGGCAGCUUAUCUUUACUAUAGCAUGGGAUGCAUCUGAGAAAGAUUCGUCAGGAGCAGUGGCAACUGGAAAGCUGAGAGAUGGACCAUAAUUAUGAAAGUAAGGUGGCCUUCAUCCCAGGAAAACCAUCUGUCUCACCAGGGACUUUAAGACUAAGACUUUAAUGAGUGCUAACAUUAGAAGUGCAUGCAGACCUCUCCAACACAAAAUAACUGAGCCUGUCCUCAACCCUGUCUUCAGUGAACCUGAGAGCUUGAGAACACGGCUCAAAUGUGCACUCCCAUGCUUGCAGAGUGGGUGGACCAGGUC
rnacentral:lncRNA from 1 species